rnacentral:rRNA from 1 species
GUGCCCCGCCUGGGGAGUACGGCCGCAAGGCUAAAACUCAAAGGAAUUGACGGGGGCCCGCACAAGCGGCGGAGCAUGCGGAUUAAUUCGAUGCAACGCGAAGAACCUUACCAAGGCUUGACAUGAACCGGUAAUACCUGGAAACAGGUGCCCCGCUUGCGGUCGGUUUACAGGUGGUGCAUGGUUGUCGUCAGCUCGUGUCGUGAGAUGUUGGGUUAAGUCCCGCAACGAGCGCAACCCUCGUUCUAUGUUGCCAGCGCGUUAUGGCGGGGACUCAUAGGAGACUGCCGGGGUCAACUCGGAGGAAGGUGGGGACGACGUCAAAUCAUCAUGCCCCUUAUGUCUUGGGCUUCACGCAUGCUACAAUGGCCGGUACAAAGGGUUGCGAUACUGUGAGGUGGAGCUAAUCCCAAAAAGCCGGUCUCAGUUCGGAUUGGGGUCUGCAACUCGACCCCAUGAAGUCGGAGUCGCUAGUAAUCGCAGAUCAGCAACGCUGCGGUGAAUACGUUCCCGGGCCUUGUACACACCGCCCGUCAAGUCACGAAAGUUGGUAACACCCGAAGCCAGUGGCCUAACCCUUGUGGGGGGAGCCGUCGAAGGUGGGACCGGCGAUUGGGACUAAGUCGUAACAAGGUAGCCGUACCGGAAGGUGCGGCUGGAUCACCUC